GGCGCGUCCUCGUGUCCCACUACCGUGUUACACCAGGUCCUUUCCUUUUUUAACAGCAUGUGAAACAGGAAACAUUUCUAAAAUUUUAUAUAACAUACUCAAAAUAUAAGUCAAACCCCAAAAUGAUCUGGCUGUGAAUUAAGAAUUUGCCACCUUGAGUUUUGGGUUACCUCUCUGGAUGAAGACACAUCUUCAGCUGAUGUAAAUGCCCACUCCUUUGGAGGCAACUGAGCUAUGAUGGUUUAUACCACAUGAGCCUUUCACCUGAAGCCUUGUCUGGAUUUAUGAAUGGCUUGUAUGUACCCUGUGUAAUGAUUACAUCAUACUCAGCUUUGUUUGCCCCUAUGCUGGCUGGCCACUGCAUCCUGCAGUUCAGUGUCUCUUCCUCCAUGUGGGAAACCUUAGAAUUACCCUGCGAAAGGAUUCACUAAAACUGAUGCAAUGCAACUGAUAAGGAACACUGUAGUGCCAUUAUAGAAGAACUUUGUUUUAUAUAUUUAAAUCAUAUUUUAAUUGACUGUCUGCUUUUAAGAAAAAUAUGUGUAAUUCUGGGGAGCAAGAAAGAUCAAAGAUAGUUCUAUUCUGCCAACGUUAGACCUAGAGGUCUAGGGUGGAAGGCACAGUGCAAAGAUAUUGGGUCAUCAAGCACAAGCAAGCUAGCUGGAGGCAAGGAUUUCCCUAGUGUUGAGCUGGACAGGAGCAGAUGGUCUUACUGACAGGGUAAGACUCCUCUUAAGCUCACAGAUCUUUGCACUGCAGUCUACAGCAUUGCGUAGCUAUGUCCAUUUUGCCAAAAAAAAAAAAGAAAAAUAGUUGAAAACAAACACAAAAAAACAGUAUUAUUAAUUAAUAAGCUAAUUCUGAAAUGUUCAGUUUGUAGCAUAUUGU